rnacentral:rRNA from 1 species
CCUACGGGUGGCAGCAGUGGGGAAUAUUGGACAAUGGGGGGAACCCUGAUCCAGCGACGCCGCGUGAGUGAAGAAGUAUUUCGGUAUGUAAAGCUCUAUCAGCAGGGAAGAAAGAAAUGACGGUACCUGACUAAGAAGCCCCGGCUAACUACGUGCCAGCAGCCGCGGUAAUACGUAGGGGGCAAGCGUUAUCCGGAUUUACUGGGUGGAAAGGGAGCGUAGACGGCGAUGCAAGUCUGAAGUGAAAGGCGGGGGCCCAACCCCUGGACUGCUUUGGAAACUGUAUGGCUGGAGUGAAGGAGAGGUAAGUGGAAUUCCUAGUGUAGCGGUGAAAUGCGUAGAUAUUAGGAGGAACACCAGUGGCGAAGGCGGCUUACUGGACUGUAACUGACGUUGAGGCUCGAAAGCGUGGGUAGCAAACAGGAUUAGAUACCCCUGUAGUC